AUUGAACGCUGGCGGCAGGCUUAACACAUGCAAGUCGAGCGGAGAUGAGGUGCUUGCACCCUAUCUUAGCGGCGGACGGGUGAGUAAUGCUUAGGAAUCUGCCUAUUAGUGGGGGACAACAUUCCGAAAGGAAUGCUAAUACCGCAUACGUCCUACGGGAGAAAGCAGGGGAUCUUCGGACCUUGCGCUAAUAGAUGAGCCUAAGUCGGAUUAGCUAGUUGGUGGGGUAAAGGCCUACCAAGGCGACGAUCUGUAGCGGGGCUGAGAGGAUGAUCCGCCACACUGGGGCGGGGACACGGCCCAGACUCCUACGGGAGGCAGCAGUGGGGAAUAUUGGACAAUGGGGGGAACCCUGAUCCAGCCAUGCCGCGUGUGUGAAGAAGGCCUUAUGGUUGUAAAGCACUUUAAGCGAGGAGGAGGCUACUGAGACUAAUACUCUUGGAUAGUGGACGUUACUCGCAGAAUAAGCACCGGCUAACUCUGUGCCAGCCGCCGCCGUAAUAC
rnacentral:rRNA from 1 species